UUGAGUCCNGAAUACUUCUUAGAGGGACAAGCGGUGUUCAGCCGCACGAAAUUGAGCAAUAACAGGUCUGUGAUGCCCUUAGAUGUCCGGGGCUGCACGCGCGCUACACUGGAGGAAUCAGCGUGCUGUAACCAUUGCCGAAAGGCAUUGGUAACCCCUUGAAAAUCCUCCGUGAUCGGGAUCGGGAAUUGCAAUUAUUUCCCUUGAACGAGGAAUUCCCAGUAAGUGUGAGUCAUCAGCUCACGUUGAUUACGUCCCUGCCCUUUGUACACACCGCCCGUCGCUGCCCGGGACUGAGCCGUUUCGAGAAAAGCGGGGACUGCUGAUUUGAGGCCUAAGGGUUUCGAUUCGGUGGAAACCGCCUUUAUCGCAGUGGCUUGAACCGGGCAAAAGUCGUAACAAGGUUUCCGUAGGUGAACCUGCGGAAGGAUCAUUAUCGAGCUAUAAAGUCUCAAGGAUUCACACUCCUUCGAGCCGUACAUGUGGGUCGUCCAGCAAGUUGAGGACCGGCUGCAGGCCAUCGUGCUUUACGCGGCUGCCCACUGUGCGUUGGAGUGAAAUGGGCGAAGCAGUGAUAGUUUGCUUCUACGCGGUCCGUCACUCAUACCCUAAAGCACGGCUAACGUUGGCGUCUAAGCUCUAUCUAGCAACCGUCCGUCCGUCGGUAGCGAUGAUGAUAGGGAUGAAGCUCCCGUGAGGUGAGCAGACUUAAUGAGCACUGGCAAGCGUGCCGCCAACAAACCACAUAAACCUAUACUGUGUGAUGAUCAGAAGUUGGUCGAAAGACCAGCUAACGAGUACUACUCUUAGCGGUGGAUCACUCGGCUCGUGGAUCGAUGAAGACGCCAGCUAGCA
rnacentral:rRNA from 1 species